rnacentral:rRNA from 1 species
GGUGAGAUGAGCCCGGUCCACCGCAAGUUCGGUGAGUACCGGCUCAUCCACCUCCUCCCUCUGGUGCCCCGUCCUUUCCCGUUGACUCGGGUUAAGGGCGUUGAGGAAGGGAAAGGGGGCAACUUCUUUUUCUUCCGGGGCCCAGACCUUUUACCUUGAGGAAAUUAGAGUGUUCAAAGCGGGCGCGAAAAAUCUCGCCGUUGAAUACGUCAGCAUGGGAUAAUGGAAUAGGACCCCGUUCCUGUUUCCGUUGGUUUAUCAUUGGGAAUGGGGUAAUGAUUGAUAGGGAUAGUUGGGGGCAUCGAUAUUUAAUUGUCAGAGGUGAAAUUCUUGGAUUUAUGAAAGAUCGACUUCCGCGAAAGCAUUUGCCAAGGAUGUUUUCAUUAAUCAAGAACGAAAGUUAGGGGAUCGAAGACGAUCAGAUACCGUCGUAGUCUUAACCAUAAACCGUGCCGACCAGCGAUCGGGAGACGUCGCAUGGAUGACUCCCCCGGCAGCUUGUGAGAAAUCACAAGUCUUUGGGUUCCGGGGGGAGUAUG